rnacentral:rRNA from 1 species
AUUAAUUUGUUGGGAUUGGGACCCGCAUCGUUUACUGUGAAAAAAUUAGAGUGUUUAAAGCAGGCAAUCGCUUGAAUACAUUAGCAUGGAAUAAUAAGAUAGGACUUUGGUACUAUUUUGUUGGUUUGCAUACCAAAUUAAUGAUCAACAGGAACAGUUUGAGGAUAUUCGUAUGAACAUGUCAGAGGUGAAAUUCUUGGAUUUUGAUCAGACGAACUACUGCGAAAGCAUUUACCAAGGAUGUUUUCAUUAAUCAAGAACGAAAGUUAG